rnacentral:misc_RNA from 1 species
GAUGAAGAACGUAGCGAAAUGCGAUAAGUAAUGUGAAUUGCAGAAUUCAGUGAAUCAUCGAAUCUUUGAACGCACAUUGCGCCCGCGAGUAUUCUCGCGGGCAUGCCUGUCCGAGCGUCAUUUCAACCCUCAGGGCCCGCCUGCUUGCAGGCGCGGCGCUGGUGUUGGGGAUCGGCUACCCUGCCGUCCCCCAAAUACAGUGGCGGUCUCGCUGCAGCCUCCCCUGCGUAGUAGCAACACUCGCAUGCGGAGCGCGGCGCGGCCACGCCGUAAAACCCCCUACUUUCUGAACGUUGACCUCGGAUCAGGUAGGAAUACCCGCUGAACUUAAGCAUAUCAAUAAGCGGAGGA